GGAUGUGAGGGCGAUCUGGCUGCGACAUCUGUCACCCCAUUGAUCGCCAGGGUUGAUUCGGCUGAUCUGGCUGGCUAGGCGGGUGUCCCCUUCCUCCCUCACCGCUCCAUGUGCGUCCCUCCCGAAGCUGCGCCCUUGGUCGAAGAGGACGACCAUCCCCAAUAGAGGAGGACCGUUCUUCGGUCAAGGGUAUACGAGUAGCUGCGCUCCCCUGCUAGAACCUCCAAACAAGCUCUCAAGAAUUUAAAACUAUAUGUCAAGAGAAACCUUCUCUAAGCAGGAGGUUGACAUGACUUGACAGUAUGUCAUAUGGUAUUCAU
rnacentral:snRNA from 1 species